rnacentral:tmRNA from 1 species
GGGGGUGCACCGGUUUCGACGGGUGUGAACGUGGACUUGAGUUGCAGGUGAGGUUGCCUGUCCUCUGAACAGACAAAAACUAUAACUGCCGAAGAUAAUCGUCAGUUUGCUCUCGCUGCGUAAGCACGAGAACACGGAAACUGGACUGUGCCGCUCUGAACGGGCCAAGUUUCCGUCGCUAAUCAGGGCUUGCUGUGGAUGGUGUCCGAUACGUCCACGGGACUUUUAUCGGAAUACGGAACCGACGCUUGCGAUGCUGCUACCGGAUCCCGACAACUACCUCGCAUCGCUAAACCUGUAGAGGCUCCUGUCUCGCACAUUCGGACGGGGGUUCAAUUCCCCCCACCUCCAA